AUUUGACUUCUGCAUUUAAUCGUUGGUGUACAGCUUCUGAAGUUAGUACUUUUGAGGAUCUGUCUAAUUUGAUUGUGUUAGAACAGUUCAAAAAUUCUGUGUCUGACCAGGUUGCUACAUACAUGAAUGAACAUAAAGUUAAGUCUCCAAGUGAUGCAGCAAUAACUUUACUUCCAGGAAUAGUAGGUCAAAUUUCUUUUGAGCUUCUUUCCAAAGGCCUCAACAGAAGUUUGGGUCUGGAGGACUUAAAGCACCGGUGAAUGCUAAUACCUGUCGCUAUUGUUUAAUUGAAGGACAUUGGAAGAAAGAUUGUCCUCUACUUAAAUAAAAAAAGUCAGGUCAAGUUAAACCUGCUUUGAUGGCAACUCCUGUUUCAGCCUCUGACCACCAGGGUGAGUUUUUUCAGCCACUAGUUGAGUUUGAUUCUCAGUCUUCCCAUUGUGAUUUUUCAGCCUUUAUUUCAGAUGGUGUAGUGUCCCUGAAAGAUGGCAACCAAAAUGUUUCGAUCAAGAUCUUAAGAGACACUGGAGCUUUAGAUUAUUUUAUUCUGGAAUCUGUUUUGCCGUUCUCUAAGGAGUCUGAUACUGGCAGAUGUGUAAUGGUACGUGAUAUGGGUUUAGCUCCAUUCUCUUCUCCUUUACAUGAAGUUACCUUAAAAUGUGGUCUGGUAGAGGGUGAUGUAGAUGUUGGGGUUAGACCCCAGUUGCCAGAAGAGGGAGUCCACAUGAUUUUGGGGAAUGAUUUGGCAGGUAGUAAGGUGUGGGCAGAUGGAAAAGUAAGCAUCUUUACAAAGCAACCUUCAGUGUCCCCAGCAAGGGUAUCUCCAGAUAGCAACUGUGUAUCUCCUGAGAUAUUUCCAGUUUGUGCUGUUACCCGCGCUGCCUCUUGUAAUAAGGUUGAGAGUAAGCCAGAAAGUAUUGAGUUGCCAGUCAAACUCCAGACAGAACAGUUGACUAGUUCUAGAGAUUCAUUGAUAGCUGAGCAAAAGGCUGAUACUACUUUGGAUGAUCUGUUUGAGAAAGUUGUUCCUGAUUCAGUGGUGAGGAAUAGUGCUCAGUGUUACUUUCUUCUUG
rnacentral:lncRNA from 1 species